UUUCUUUCAGGCCUUCAUUUGAUCAUGUGUACAAUAGUGGUAUGUAACGCGAUCGAGUAUAGGAGUUAAUAAAGUUAUAAAAUUGAAUUUAAUGCAAGAUUAUACAGUUUCGAUUGAUUUUUAGGAUACAUAGUUGAAAACUCGAAAAUAUGAAAAUAAAAAAAUAAUAACUCUCGAAAAAAGGAAGGAGACAAGUAAAAAAUCCAGUCUCGAGAGAAGA
rnacentral:lncRNA from 1 species